rnacentral:rRNA from 1 species
GACGAACGCUGGCGGCGUGCCUAAUACAUGCAAGUCGAACGGAGUGGCGCACGGGUUAGUAAUAUAUAGCUAAUCUGCCCCUUGCUGGAGGACAACAGUUAGAAAUGACUGCUAAUACUCCAUAGAAAGGGAUGAGACUAUAUCGUAUCAGCUAGUCGGUGGGGUAACGCCCUACCGAGGCUAUGACGCGUAACUGGUCUGAGAGGAUGAGCAGUAGCAUCGUAACUGAGGCACGAGUGAAAAAUAUUCGGCAAGGAGCGGUAGGGAAAAUUGCGCAAUCGGCGAGACCCUGACGGGCCAUCGGCGCGUAAAGGAUGACACUUUGCGAAGAGGAAACUCCUGUUGAUAGGGAAGCGGUACCUAACGAAUAAGCACCGGCUAACUCCGUGCCAGCCGCCGCGGUAAUAC